rnacentral:rRNA from 1 species
CCUACGGGGGGCAGCAGUGAGGAAUAUUGGUCAAUGGGCGGGAGCCUGAACCAGCCAAGUCGCGUGAGGGAAGAAGGUACUGAGUAUUGUAAACCUCUUUUGCCAGGGGACAAAGGCGGCCACGGGUGGCCGUAAGAGGGUACCUGGAGAAAAAGCAUCGGCUAACUCCGUGCCAGCAGCCGCGGUAAUACGGAGGAUGCGAGCGUUAUCCGGAUUUAUUGGGUUUAAAGGGUGCGUAGGCGGUCGGAUAAGUUAGAGGUGAAAUCCCGAGGCUCAACUUCGGAAUUGCCUCUGAUACUGUUCGGCUAGAGAGUAGUUGCGGUAGGCGGAAUGUAUGGUGUAGCGGUGAAAUGCUUAGAGAUCAUACAGAACACCGAUUGCGAAGGCAGCUUACCAAGCUACUUCUGACGUUGAGGCACGAAAGCGUGGGGAGCAAACAGGAUUAGAUACCCCAGUAGUC